rfam:Stegodyphus mimosarum contig72252, whole genome shotgun sequence.
GCCAUUGUGGUGUAACGGUAGCACACUCGGCAAGUAUUCGCCAGUUCCGGGUUCGAGUCCCGGCAAAAACA